rnacentral:lncRNA from 1 species
AUCCUGUCAAUUGUAUCGCUCAUUUGUUCCACACAAUCUUUAAGAGCUGCAUAUUCUCUUGGCUUCAACCCCUUGAAUUUACACAGCUUGUUGACAAAUGCUUGUGUGGAUUGUGCCCUGUCAAGGCUCACUGACAACGCAGUUUGUGCUAGUUGUUGUGGGCUACGUUUUAUGGCUGGUGCGAACCCCGCUAAGGAAGUGAAGCAUACUUCAGGGUAAGUGGUGAAUUUGCACGAGCUCUUGAUGAAACUGGUGGCGACUGUGGCGGAAUUCGCCGUGCCGGAGAAGCAGAAAAGAG